AUGCCAUGUGAAGCAAGCCGACUUGGAUGUGAAUGCCACAGUGUUCUUCCACGUGGAGGAGGGGACCGUGACUGGUGCACAGAACUUUUUCAGUGGGCAAGGAAAAACUAUAGCCUUCAUUCUCCUUUGGUGAGUACAAAACUUUCAAAACAUUGUUUCUGACGUACAGUGAGCCAGCUAAAAGGAUGUGUAGGAUAAAAUUGUCAGAGAAGCAUCAUCUUCUUGAGAAAGAGGGCCCUAUAGUCAGUGUGUUAUAUUUUAAUUUUCUGCCUUAUCUUGCUCGAACAGGCUCAUAGCACACAUUUUGUUACAUCACUUUUGGGUGUAAAAUGUGGCCCAGCUGUUCAGUACCCUGAGCUGCAUCGUUGUGAGCACGCUUCCAUGUCCUUCUCUUCCCGACUUGUAGUAACUGCUGGAAAGGCCUCGCCUGAGCUGAGCGGAGCACGUUGGGGCCGAUUAGGGAGCACAGUGACAUUGCAUUGAUGGUAAUUGCUUCUUAAAUUGAUCUGCUGUGGGGCGAACUGCUGAAAACGAGCUUUUUCUGGAUUGCACAUUUAGGAAAAAUGGUUGUCAUUGCACAAUUUUUUUGCUUUUUGGGGUCCAUGGCCUUGAUGCCCUUGUACUUAGGGAAAGAAAACUUGAAUCACAAUAGGCUUUUCCCUAAGGAAACUGAUGGAAGACCAUCGAAGGGUAAGCAGCUCACGGGACGCUAUGUGUGUGCUCCCUUGGGUUCAUGUGUACCUUGGGGUUCAUGCAUACCUUUGGGUUCAUAUGUACCUUUGAGUAUAUGUGUCACUUUGGGUACACGUGCACCCACAUGCUGUGUCUAAUCACUGAAAUGAGUGUACCGUGGUGUUGGCGACUACGGUGUUACACUUGUUAAAUGCAUAACCGUUCUUGCAAUAGGUUAUUCUUGCAGAAUGAUUUUGAGGUCAAUGAGUCAAUUCCUUUUCUGGGGCUGGCUGCCUCUUACCUGCCUUUCCCAGCCAGUGUGACUGCAUGGCACCCUUUUACCUGGGCAGAGGUGUUCGUGGUUAUUCCUGGUGUGAUAAAAUGCACUUCGUUGACAUAUACUGUUUCUCCUACCUCAGUGAUGAGGGCUGAAUGCCGUCAAAAAUUUAUCAAGCUGGAGUCCAGGAAAGCCUCCAUUCGGUUACUACCUACGAAACAACCCUGUGGUCCGUGUCCUCAACUGCAUUGUCACUGGGUGUUGUUGACUCUGAAUGGUGCACUCGACUUGGGUAAAUGUCAACAGUGGGGCCAACGAGAGGGCUCAUGACUGAAAUGAGGUGCAGGAGAAUAGAGACUUAAUUAUGGGAAGUCUGCCCUCCCUUAUUGCCUUGGAAUCCUAAGCAAGAUUCCACUUGGCUAUGAGUGUUGCUCACUUGCGUGGUGUGAGUGGAUAGUGAACAUGGCGUUCGUCAGAAGCACUGGAAGGAGUGCCUUAUGGAAUGUGCCUACCAAGCUGCAGUCCUUGGGUGAACGCAAAUGGUGAACGCACUCUGCUGCUGACUGAAAGGCUGGAUGUUUGAGCCCACCCAGAGGUACCUUGAAAGAAAGGCCUGGUUUUCUACUUCUGAAAAUCAGCCGUGGAAAAUCCUGUGGAGAACAGUUCUACUCUGACACACGUGGGGUCGCCAGGAGCAGAAUCAAAUACAUGACAGGGGGUUUUGUGUGUGGGGUUUGUUUGUUUUCACGAUGUU